AAUCUUCCUGCAACAACAAAAAGAUGCUCUGAUGACCCUGUUGCUCAUAUACCAGCUGAAAUAAAUUUCCAGGUGUGAAACUUUGUGCAGUCCUGAUGAUGCCAAAUAUUCCUUGUACUUUCUGCUCUGAGAAAUGACUGUGGUGGUGCUGUGGAGCUGCUAAAUGGGACUGUCCAGGAGACAACAGCAUCCAGAAUAUGAAGUAAAAACUACUCAUCUAAAAACCGAAGCCUUCAUUCUCUUUGGAGCAGACAGGAGAAAACAUGGAUGGACUAUAUUUGGGAAAGGUUGGCUCCAUUCGUGUGAGUAAGUUCUUCUCCGAGGUGGCUGGAGUGUGACACUGAACAGGGUAACCCUCAUCUUACUGACUCAAGGAUCUCCUCCUAACUAAUGAACAUGGGCAACAAAUCAAAAUAUGGUGGAAACUUCAAGAGGUUUGUGGCCAAGACUGCAAGGAUCCUGGGAAAAUGAUUGUACAUUCACAUCAUGCCAUCAUCUAAGUACAUGGAAAAUGCUUUUAUAGGAUGCUGAAGAUUUGCCACCAAACUACAAGGGCUUUACAUCGCAUCUCCAACAAUCUCUGUCACUAACAAGGGCCAAAUUCUGUGUUGGAAAGAGCUCCUUCUGUUUUUCUUGGCCUAACCCACUCUGCACAGAUGUCACCUCCCUGCUUUUGACCAGACCACAGAAGUCAGGAAAGCAAUUUCUUCCCCAUCCUUGCUGGCAUCCUCAGGAGGCAGGUUCCUUAGGACUCUGAUGUGAGACAGAAAUGGAAACAGGAUUUUGCUGGAGUGGGAUGCUUCGUGUUUGAGGAAGUCAAGGUUAAUCUGUGCCUGAAGAAUCAGGAAAACUUGUAUUUUGUAUGGGCAGUGCCAAUGCAGCUCCCUGCUCUGGUGGAGGGCACAAAAGAGACUUUGGCACCUAAGUAAUUUAUGAUUAGUUGAAAACUGUUGUGUUUCACUGCUCACAUGUGUUCUCCUCAAGAAGAGACUGUAAAAUUGAUCUGAGGCCCAAACUAAGAGUGAAUCUUUUUCUCUCUCAAAGAGCAAAGCUCUCUUUCAAAAAUGUGACGCAGGAGUUGCCAUGGAAAAAUACAUUGAGCCAAUCAUUCAUGAUUUAUUUAUAGCAAUUAGAAUGCUCAUCCCAAGAUCCAAUAGUAACUUU